CAAAAAACUAGAAGAAAAAAAAUGAAGAAGGAGAAAAACGGCCAAGAGGGCUGGCCAAACCAGCCCUAUUAUAUUGAUCAUGAAAAAAUUGUUUCUUCAAGCUUUCAUAUCAAUUGGAAGGUCCUCGUCAACGUGGAGUAGUUGUUAGAGCAAGAAAACCGCUCGUUGUUGCGUUUCAUCAAGCUAGCCGAGAGGAAAAGUUGAAGAAGAAGACUAGCAAGUUUGGACGGAUAAGCGUAGCUAGUAGGGCGCGGCACAGGUACGCCCAGGUGAGUUGAAGGCAGUAUAGAAGAUGUUCCAGUGCAGAUGGCAAGCUCCAUUUGUUCCCGGAGUGCUGCCGAGUCAGGGUUUGUAUGUUAUGCUUUCUGGACUACGUUAGAGACUUUGCAGACAGCGUCGUGGGUAUUGGUUGUCAAUUUGUAAGCGGCUCCGUCAGCCGAUGUGUCGGUUUGUGUCAUGUACUGAAUUUUGUAUGAUCAUAGAUUUGUUCGGCUUGGAAGCUACGAGAAAGAAUAUUUCAAAAAAAAUUACUAUGUAUUUUACCU